UUAAAAAUUAAUAUACUGAAAAAAGUUCACCUACCAUUCUCAAUUAUGAGUUACAAAGAUGCACGUAUAGUUACAAUGACGAUCUAACAUUAACCUAACUGGAAGACUUUACUCAGUAGUAACAAUCAUCUAUUAGAAAAAAAUUAAGAAAGCGACUGCAUGUUAAGUUAAAAAAUACAAAAGUUUUUUUUUCACCUUCUAAAAAAAGAAUGUUAUAAAUACUGACAAACCUAAAUCUUGACUAGAGAACUAAAGAGAUGUAAGAUGCACGCAUAAAGUGAUUCAGAGUCUUCAGAUUCUAAACUUCAAGAAUCAGUUUUAGAACAAUUAGUGAAACAUCACAAUUGUUUGCACAUUAGAGAAGAAAGUCCUGGUAUUAAAGUGCAAAAAUUUGCCAAAUGUUCUCAAUCUGCAAUAUAUAUGGAACUAUGAUACCUAAAGUCUUAAAAAGUCUUUAUCUGCUGCGGAUAUCCUGGGGGAAAAGACUGAGUUUGAAAAUUCAUAAUUUUAUUAUGAUAAAAUAAAUGAUAUAACAAGGUUUGAUGAAAGUGAAAUAAUUUUAAGUAAUAAAGCAAAGUUUUACUUGUUAUUAUAUUCUUGUUAAACAAUUAUGUAUAAAGUUUUCCUAAAUAAAGUAAAAUGUGAUCAAACUAAAUAAUUAUCUAUGGUUCGUUAAGGUCUUUUUCAGCUCUGCUAAUAAUGUUUUGGAUGAAAUAAUGCCAAAAUGUAUUCUACCAUUGUUUAAGCAAGCUGGAACUUAUGGAAAUAGAUCAUUUAGACCAUUUUUAAAAAACUUUAUUAAGUAGAGUAAUUAUAGGAACAUUAGUUUCACAUACAGCAAAAUUCGAUUUAGUCGAUAAGUUGAAAGGCGAUUGUUUAAAGAGAAUAAUAGAAUAAAUAGCUUAAUAGAAUAGCAAAAAAAAAACUACUUUAUUAUGUUUUUGUAUGCCUAAAUUGUAA